rnacentral:rRNA from 1 species
CCAAUAGCGUAUAUUAAAGUUGUUGCAGUUAAAAAGCUCGUAGUUGAAUUUCGGGAUCAAUUUGCUGGUCGUGCCUUCGGUACGCACUGGUAUUAUUGGUUUCUCCUUUCUGAUGAAUCGCGAUGUCAUUAAUUUGGUGUCGUGGGGAAUCAGGACCGUUACUUUGAAAAAAUUAGAGGGUUUAAAGCAGGCUCACGCUUGAAUACAUUAGCAUGGAAUAAUGAAAUAGGACGUUUGAUUCUAUUUUGUUGGUUUCUAGGAUCGACGUAAUGAUUAAUAGGGAUAGUUGGGGGCAUUAGUAUUCAAUUGUCAGAGGUGAAAUUCUUGGAUUUACUGAAGACUAACUACUGCGAAAGCAUUUGCCAAGGAUGUUUUCAUUAAUCAAGAACGAAAGUUAGGGGAUCGAAGACGAUCAGAUACCGUCGUAGUCUUAACCAUAAACUAUGCCGACUAGGGAUCGGAUGAUGUUAAUUUUUUAAUGACUCAUUCGGCGCCUUACG